CGGAAGCGUGCGGGACGCCUUGGGUCCCAACAUGGCGGCCUCCUGGGCCUCCAGGCCCGCUGCUGCGGAGGCCGUCGCCGCCCGCCUGCUGGGGCUCCUGUGGCUCGUUACUGUCACCGUGGGACCUUGGGCGGUCGCCGCCGCCGGGGACGAGGAGACGUUUAAGUGCGAGGACCUCAAAGUGGGACAAUAUAUUUGUAAGGAUCCCCAAAUAAACAAUGCUACACAAGAACCAGUUAACUGUACAAACUACACAGCUCAUGUCCAGUGUUUUCCAGCACCCAACAUAACUUGUAAGGAUUUAAGCGGCAAUGAAACACAUUUUACUGGAAAUGAAGUUGGUUUUCUCAGGCCCAUAUCAUGCCGAAAUGUAAAUGGCUAUUCGUACAAAGUGGCAGUUGCAUUGUCUCUUUUUCUUGGAUGGUUGGGAGCAGAUCGAUUUUAUCUUGGAUACCCUGCUUUGGCUUCUUUUCUAGGUUUAUUAAAGUUUUGCACUGUAGGAUUUUGUGGAAUUGGGAGCCUAAUUGAUUUUAUUCUUAUUUCAAUGCAGAUUGUUGGACCUUCAGAUGGAACUAGUUACAUUAUAGAUUACUAUGGAACCAGACUUACAAGACUGAGUAUUACUAACGAAACGGUUAGGAAAACACAGUUAUAUCCAUAGGUCCUUAAAAAGAGAAACAGUAGACCUAAGGAAGUUGAGAGCAAGAUGCCCAAGUAACGGAGAAUUGAAAUGAAAUCUAGCUCCUCUGUAAUAUGCUGAAACCUACCUGAGCCACCACUUUGUUUUGUUUUAAGCAUCUUCAUUUUGGAAAUGAUUUCUCCUACUUUAUAAGAAAGGAGUUGAGCCUCCUUGAUUUUAACAAAGAAUACCCAGUAUGUGGAUUUCCAGAUACUCCUUUUUUUCCUUCAUAAACCACUUGAUGGGUUCUAUAUGAUCUUUUUUUUUUUUCCUCAUAUGGUCAUUUUUGAUUUAGGUAAACAUAUUCUCUGGGCACUGGUGGCUCAUACCUGUAAUCCUUACGACAGAGGCUGAGAUCUAGAGGAUUGUAAUUCAAGAACA